CAGCUCAAGUGCACAUUUUUCUUCUAUAUGAGGCUUUAUGUACACUGAAAAUAUGAGACUGGAAUUGUUUAGAAUUCUAUAUUUCUAAAAGAAGCUCUUGAUUCCCAAUUAUGAUUUCAAAUGAUGAUGAUGAUGAUGAUGUGGCACAGCUGCAAAAGAAAGCCUCUGUUUUGGAAGACUGACUGGAGUUUCAUUAAAUGCCCAGUUUCCACAAGUUUUAUGCUCUACUAAAUUCUUCAGGCCUUUUGUGUACUGAGAAUCUAAGAGUGGAGUCAUAUGUGGAUAGAUUGUUCCAAAGAAAUUAUUCAGCAAAUGGUGUGGUGUGCAUAAGAUACUUGAAUCAGUUUUUAUCAUACACUGAUUUAUACCAUCAACGAUUGUGAAUCUGACUUCCCUAUUA